rnacentral:lncRNA from 1 species
GGCAGCACCCGGCGGGGUUAGGAAGGAGGGAAAGGAGCCGAGAGGACGUGACACCCGCCGCGGUUCCUCCGCCCCCUGUUUCCCCGCCACUGCCGCUCUCCAAAUUGGCGCGGAACCGGCCUCUCCACAGCGCUUCGCCCGCGCGGCCCCCUCUGCCCGCCGACCGUGCUGGAGCUGAGGGCGGGCGCUGCCUCAGUCCCACUGUGGAUGUUGGGGGAGACGGUGGAGGUCCCGAAACAGCCAGUCCGGGGAGACCGGCCCUGAGCGUUCAGGGUACACGUUUGAAGGCACUCGCGACCAGGCUGUGCAUUCAGUCGUGGAAAUGCAGGCGUGUGUCCAGAAUAAAUUACCAUGAGAUAACUAAAGGAGUGCACAACACAACGUGGUAACAUGGCCCUGGCCACCUUUGAGAGAUUUAGCUGUAACCUCUGAUCAGCUCUGAUUGACAGUUGGAGAAUAGGGAUAGCAAUGUACAAUACUUAACUCUGGUUUUUCUUCUCCCCUCACUGCAGAGUUUCAUACACCUGAAAGAAGAGAAUGUCAAGACGCAGUAGCCGUUUACAAGCUAAGCAGCAUGCUCAGCCCAGCCAGCCAGACUCCCCCCAGGACGCCCAGAUAAUCCAGGCCAAGAAGAGAAAAACAGCACAGGAUGUCAAAAAAAGAAAAGAAAAAGUCACCAGGAAACAUCAAUAUGAGAUAAGGGUAAUGCAGAAGUGGGCUUGGUGGUUUUGGGGAAAACAAAUGCAGGAGAGGAUAAAUAAGAAUAAUGUAUUAUUGCUUUGCAAAAGAAGGAUUUCUCUGUCACUUUUAAUGCCCCUGGAGGACAGCAGGAAG